CCUACGGGUGGCAGCAGUGGGGAACAUUGCACAAUGGGCGCAAGCCUGAUGCAGCCAUGCCGCGUGUGUGAAGAAGGCCUUCGGGUUGUAAAGCACUUUCAGCGGGGAGGAAGGCGGUGAGGUUAAUAACCUCAUCGAUUGACGUUACCCGCAGAAGAAGCACCGGCUAACUCCGUGCCAGCAGCCGCGGUAAUACGGAGGGUGCAAGCGUUAAUCGGAAUUACUGGGCGUAAAGCGCACGCAGGCGGUCUGUCAAGUCGGAUGUGAAAUCCCCGGGCUCAACCUAGGAACUGCAUUCGAAACUGGCAGGCUAGAGUCUUGUAGAGGGGGGUAGAAUUCCAGGUGUAGCGGUGAAAUGCGUAGAGAUCUGGAGGAAUACCGGUGGCGAAGGCGGCCCCCUGGACAAAGACUGACGCUCAGGUGCGAAAGCGUGGGGAGCAAACAGGAUUAGAUACCCCAGUAGUC
rnacentral:rRNA from 1 species